AUGCCUGCCACCAUCUCAUCUUCACUCUGCACAGUCGCCGCCCUGUCCGGCCGUCGGGACAGCCAGCAGGGAGGCAACAAGCAGCGGGUGGUUGCGCAGCCUCUCGCGGCUGGUGCCGUCACGGAGGCGCCGCCGCUCGCCAGUGCUCCGCGGCGCCGUGGUGGUGCCGACGAGCUCGUGGCGUGGAAGAGUAUCCGGCAGGAGAGGUGGGAGGGCGCGCUGGAAGUGGAGGGAAACCUCCCUCUCUGGCUGGAUGGCACGUACCUGAGGAACGGCCCGGGCCUAUGGGACCUCGGGGACUAUGGCUUCCGCCACCUGUUCGACGGCUACGCGACGCUGGUGCGCGUCUCGUUCCGUGACGGGCAGGCCAUGGGCGCGCACCGGCAGAUCGAGUCGGAGGCGUACAAGGCGGCACGCGAGCACGGGAAGCUGUGCUACCGCGAGUUCUCGGAGGUGCCCAAGCCGGACAGCUUCACGUCCUUCAUCGGGCAGCUCGCGAGCCUCUUCUCGGGCUCCUCCCUCACGGACAACUCCAACACCGGCGUCGUCAGGCUUGGCGACGGCCGCGUGCUCUGCCUCACGGAGACCGUCAAGGGCUCCAUUGUCGUCGACCCGGACACGCUGGACACGGUGAGUAAGUUCGAGUACGAGGACAAACUGGGCGGCCUGAUCCACUCGGCGCACCCCAUCGUCACCGAUACCGAGUUCUGGACGCUGAUCCCGGACCUGAUCCAGCCCGGGUACGUGGUGGCGAGGAUGGACGCCGGGAGCAACGAGAGGCAGUUCGUGGGCAGGGUGGACUGCCGCGGCGGUCCCGCGCCCGGGUGGGUGCACUCGUUCCCCGUCACCGAGAACUACGUGGUCGUGCCGGAGAUGCCGCUGCGGUACUGCGCGGCGAACCUCAUCCGCGCCGAGCCCACGCCGCUGUAUAAGUUCCAGUGGUACCCUGAUUCCGGGAGCUACAUGCACGUCAUGUGCAAGGCCAGCGGCAACAUCGUGGCGAGCGUGGAGGUGCCGCCAUUCGUGACGUUCCACUUCAUCAACGCGUACGAGGAGAAGGACGAGGAGGGGCGCGUGACGGCGAUCAUCGCCGACUGCUGCGAGCACAACGCCAACACCUCCAUCCUCGACAACCUCCGUCUCCACAAUAUACGGAGCUUUACCGGCGAGGAUGUCCUCACCGACGCCAGGGUGGGGCGGUUCAGGAUCCCGCUGGACGGCAGCCCAUUCGGCGAGCUGGAGGCGGCGCUGGACCCGGAGGAGCACGGGCGCGGCAUGGACAUGUGCAGCAUCAACCCGGCCCACCUCGGCAAGGAGUACCGCUACACCUACGCCUGCGGCGCGCGCCGGCCGUGCAACUUCCCCAACACGCUCACCAAGAUCGACCUGGUGGAGAAGACGGCCAAGAGCUGGUACGAGGAGGGCGCCGUGCCGUCCGAGCCCUACUUCGUGCCCCGCCCCGGCGCCGUCGAGGAAGACGACGGCGUGGCCAUAUCCAUGGUGAGCGCCAAGGACGGGUCGGGCUACGCGCUGGUGCUGGACGCCAAGACCUUCAAAGAGAUCGCCCGGGCCAACUUCCGCUACGGGCUGCCCUACGGCUUGCACUGCUGCUGGGUGCCCAGGGACAAGUAA
rnacentral:rRNA from 1 species